AGCUUUGCCCAGUGGCAAUAUUGUAGCCAAUGAGGUUUAUCCAAGGCGUGAUUAUUGUUAAUUGAAAACUUUUCCCAAUACCCCGCCAUGACGACUUGAAAUAUAGUUGGUAUUGGCAAUUGUUGAUAGUCUACGGAGAC